UGGGCGCAGCCUGAUGCAGCCAUGCCGCGUGUGUGAAGAAGGCCUUCGGGUUGUAAAGCACUUUCAGUCGUGAGGAAGGUAGUGUAGUUAAUAGCUGCAUUAUUUGACGUUAGCGACAGAAGAAGCACCGGCUAACUCCGUGCCAGCAGCCGCGGUAAUACGGAGGGUGCGAGCGUUAAUCGGAAUUACUGGGCGUAAAGCGCAUGCAGGUGGUUUGUUAAGUCAGAUGUGAAAGCCCGGGGCUCAACCUCGGAAUAGCAUUUGAAACUGGCAGACUAGAGUACUGUAGAGGGGGGUAGAAUUUCAGGUGUAGCGGUGAAAUGCGUAGAGAUCUGAAGGAAUACCGGUGGCGAAGGCGGCCCCCUGGACAGAUACUGACACUCAGAUGCGAAAGCGUGGGGAGCAAACAGGAUUAGAUACCCUGGUAGUCCACGCCGUAAACGAUGUCUACUUGGAGGUUGUGGCCUUGAGCCGUGGCUUUCGGAGCUAACGCGUUAAGUAGACCGCCUGGGGAGUACGGUCGCAAGAUUAAAACUCAAAUGAAUUGACGGGGGCCCGCACAAGCGGUGGAGCAUGUGGUUUAAUUCGAUGCAACGCGAAGAACCUUACCUACUCUUGACAUCCAGAGAACUUUCCAGAGAUGGAUUGGUGCCUUCGGGAACUCUGAGACAGGUGCUGCAUGGCUGUCGUCAGCUCGUGUUGUGAAAUGUUGGGUUAAGUCCCGCAACGAGCGCAACCCUUAUCCUUGUUUGCCAGCACUUCGGGUGGGAACUCCAGGGAGACUGCCGGUGAUAAACCGGAGGAAGGUGGGGACGACGUCAAGUCAUCAUGGCCCUUA
rnacentral:rRNA from 1 species